GAUGAACGCUGGCGGCGUGCAUAACACAUUCAAGUCGAACGGUGAAGUCCUUCGGGACGGAACAGUGGCGGACGGGUGAGUAACGCGUGAGCAACCUGCCCUUGUGUGGGGGAUACCGUCUGGAAACGGACGUUAAUACCGCAUAACGUAUACUGACUGCAUGGUCGGUAUACCAAAGAUUUAUUGCGCAAGGAUGGGCUCGCGUCCCAUUAGAUAGUUGGUGAGGUAAUGGCUCACCAAGGCGACGAUCGGUAGCCGGACUGAGAGGUUGAACGGCCACAUUGGGACUGAGACACGGCCCAGACUCCUACGGGAGGCAGCAGUGGGGAAUAUUGCACAAUGGGCGCAAGCCUGAUGCAGCAACGCCGCGUGAGGGAAGAAGGUUUUCGGAUUGGUAAACCUCUGUCCCCUGUGACGAAUAAAUGACGGUAGCAGGGGAGGAAGCCGACGGCUGACUACGUG
rnacentral:rRNA from 1 species